AAUUUGGUUUUUAACUAACCCAUUACUUGUUACUUGAGAAUGAACCUGUUUUACUUGGUACACACGUUUACACUUCAAAAGUUGAGAGAGAAAGAAUCUUGGGUCCAAAUAUUGAGAAAAAUGCGAAGUGGGUAUUUGUUGAAUGUCAUUAGGUUGAUUUGAGAAGGUAUGUUGAUGCAGUUCUUGAUGAGUUGUGGGGUCAACUAUGGAGGUAGCUGAAGAAUAACGAAAUGUAGCAUAGUUGGAGGGAAAAGUCUUUGGGGUUUUUGAUUUGAACAUCAAACUUGAGUUUGGUACUGAUAAUGACACUAUUUUCCCUCAUACAGGAUUGUCACUGCUCUUCUCUUUUGAAAAACAAUUUCUG
rnacentral:lncRNA from 1 species